rnacentral:rRNA from 1 species
AACGAACGCUGGCGGCAUGCCUAACACAUGCAAGUCGAACGAGACCUUCGGGUCUAGUGGCGCACGGGUGCGUAACGCGUGGGAACCUGCCCUUAGGUUCGGAAUAACUCCCCGAAAGGGGUGCUAAUACCGGAUAAUGUCUUCGGACCAAAGAUUUAUCGCCUUUGGAUGGGCCCGCGUUGGAUUAGCUAGUUGGUAGGGUAAAAGCCUACCAAGGCGACGAUCCAUAGCUGGUCUGAGAGGAUGAUCAGCCACACUGGGACUGAGACACGGCCCAGACUCCUACGGGAAGCAGCAGUGGGGAAUACUGGACAAUGGGCGAAAGCCUGAUCCAGCAAUGCCGCGUGAGUGAUGAAGGCCUUAGGGUUGUAAAGCUCUUUUACCCGGGAUGAUAAUGACAGUACCGGGAGAAUAAGCUCCGGCUAACUCCGUG